rnacentral:rRNA from 1 species
UACGGGGGGGGCAAGCGUUGUUCGGAAUUACUGGGCGUAAAGGGCGCGUAGGUGGCCAACUAAGUCGGACGUGAAAUCCCUCGGCUUAACCGGGGAACUGCGUCUGAUACUGGAUGGCUUGAGUUCGGGAGAGGGAUGCGGAAUUCCAGGUGUAGCGGUGAAAUGCGUAGAUAUCUGGAGGAACACCGGUGGCGAAGGCGGCAUCCUGGACCGACACUGACGCUGAGGAGCGAAAGCCAGGGGAGCAAACGGG